AGCUCAGGCACUACCGAGUGUCCAGUAACUAUGCCGAGAGAAGCAGAGCUUGUCUUGUAUACAGAUCUUUCAUUUUCAGACAGCCGAUAACUUUGAUGGCUGUCUAGGGCAGCACUGCUGCAAAUAUGAUGGUAAUUCAGAUCAGCCUUAGAAAUGUAGCAAAAUCAAAGUAACAAGGAACAGUGAACCACAGAUACUUGUAUCUACUCGCCUUCCAAGUAAUGCUGGAGCAUAGACCCGGU
rnacentral:lncRNA from 1 species